rnacentral:rRNA from 1 species
UACGUAGGGUGCGAGCGUUGUCCGGAAUUAUUGGGCGUAAAGAGCUCGUAGGCGGUUUGUCGCGUCGUCCGUGAAAUCUCCACGCUUAACGUGGAGCGUGCGGUCGAUACGGGCAGACUUGAGUUCGGUAGGGGAGACUGGAAUUCCUGGUGUAGCGGUGAAAUGCGCAGAUAUCAGGAGGAACACCGGUGGCGAAGGCGGGUCUCUGGGCCGAUACUGACGCUGAGGAGCGAAAGCGUGGGGAGCGAACAGG